rnacentral:rRNA from 1 species
CCCCAGAGAUGGGGCCUCCCUUCGGGGCGGGUUCACAGGUGGUGCAUGGUCGUCGUCAGCUCGUGUCGUGAGAUGUUGGGUUAAGUCCCGCAACGAGCGCAACCCUCGCCCUGUGUUGCCAGCACGUCGUGGUGGGAACUCACGGGGGACCGCCGGGGUCAACUCGGAGGAAGGUGGGGAUGACGUCAGAUCAUCAUGCCCCUUACGUCCAGGGCUUCACGCAUGCUACAAUGGCCGGUACAACGGGAUGCGACCUCGUGAGGGGGAGCGGAUCCCUUAAAACCGGUCUCAGUUCGGAUUGGAGUCUGCAACCCGACUCCAUGAAGGCGGAGUCGCUAGUAAUCGCGGAUCAGCAACGCCGCGGUGAAUGCGUUCCCGGGCCUUGUACACACCGCCCGUCAAGUCAUGAAAGUGGGUAGCACCCGAAGCCGGUGGCCCAACCUUUUUGGGGGGAGCCGUCUAAGGUGAGACUCGUGAUUGGGACUAAGUCGUAACAAGGUAGCCGUACCGGAAGGUGCGGCUGGAUCACCUCCUUUUUACGGAG